rnacentral:misc_RNA from 1 species
AACGCACAUUGCGCCCCUUGGUAUUCCAUGGGGCAUGCCUGUUCGAGCGUCAUUUGUACCCUCAAGCUCUGCUUGGUGUUGGGUGUUUGUCCUCUCCUUUGCGUUUGGACUCGCCUUAAAGCAAUUGGCAGCCAGUGUUUUGGUAUUGAAGCGCAGCACAUUUUGCGAUUCUAGCCGAUAAUACUUGCGUCCAUAAGCCUUUUUUAACUUUUGACCUCGGAUCAGGUAGGGAUACCCGCUGAACUUAA